rnacentral:rRNA from 1 species
GACGAACGCUGGCGGCGUGCUUAACACAUGCAAGUCGAGCGGUAAGGCCCUUUCGGGGGUACACGAGCGGCGAACGGGUGAGUAACACGUGGGUGACCUGCCCUCAGCUCUGGGAUAAGCCUGGGAAACUGGGUCUAAUACUGGAUAUGACUCCACGGUGCAUGUCGUGGGGUGGAAAGCCUUGUGCGGCUGAGGAUGGGCCCGCGGCCUAUCAGCUUGUUGGUGGGGNGAUGGCCUACCAAGGCGACGACGGGUAGCUGGCCUGAGAGGGCGACCGGCCACACUGGGACUGAGACACGGCCCAGACUCCUACGGGAGGCAGCAGUGGGGAAUCUUGCGCAAUGGCCUAACGGCUGACGCAGCGACGCCGCGUGUGGGAUGAAGCUCUUCGGAGUGUAAACCACUGUUGCCCGGGACGAACAGCUCGAUUAAUCGAGCCUGACGGUACCGGGUGA